rnacentral:rRNA from 1 species
UGGGGAAUAUUGCACAAUGGGCGCAAGCCUGAUGCAGCCAUGCCGCGUGUGUGAAGAAGGCCUUCGGGUUGUAAAGCACUUUCAGCGAGGAGGAAGGUGGUGAGCUUAAUACGCUCAUCAAUUGACGUUACUCGCAGAAGAAGCACCGGCUAACUCCGUGCCAGCAGCCGCGGUAAUACGGAGGGUGCAAGCGUUAAUCGGAAUUACUGGGCGUAAAGCGCACGCAGGCGGUUUGUUAAGUCAGAUGUGAAAUCCCCGGGCUCAACCUGGGAACUGCAUUUGAAACUGGCAAGCUAGAGUCUCGUAGAGGGGGGUAGAAUUCCAGGUGUAGCGGUGAAAUGCGUAGAGAUCUGGAGGAAUACCGGUGGCGAAGGCGGCCCCCUGGACGAAGACUGACGCUCAGGUGCGAAAGCGUGGGGAGCAAAACAGGAUUAGAUACCCUGGUAGUCCACGCUGUAAAACGAUGUCGAUUUUGGAGGUUGUGCCCCUUGAGGCGUGGCUUCCGGAGCUAACGCGUU